AUUGAACGCUGGCGGCAGGCCUAACACAUGCAAGUCGAACGAGUGGUGGACGGGUGCGUAAUGUCUGGGAAACUGCCUGAUGGAGGGGGAUAACUACUGGAAACGGUAGCUAAUACCGCAUACCAUCAGAUGUGCUCCGAUGGGGUUAGUGUGUUGGUGGGGUAACGGCUCACCAAGGCGACGAUCCCUAGCUGGUCUGCGAGGAUGAACAGCAACACUGGAACUCAGACACGGUUCAGACUCCUACUGGAGGCAUCAGUGGGGCAUAUUGCACAAUGGGCGCAAGCCUGAUGCAGCCAUGCCGCGUGUAUGAAGAAGGCCUUCGGGUUGUAAAGUACUUUCAGCGGGGAGGCGUUACCCGCAGAAGAAGCACCGGCUAACUCCGUGCCAGCCGCCGCGGUAAUAC
rnacentral:rRNA from 1 species